UACGGAGGGUGCGAGCGUUGUCCGGAAUCAUUGGGCGUAAAGGGCGCGUAGGUGGCCCGGUCAGUCCGUGGUGAAAGCGCGGGGCUCAACCCUGCGUCGGCCAUGAAUACUGCCGCGGCUGGAGCACUGUAGAGGCAGGCGGAAUUCCGGGUGUAGCGGUGGAAUGCGUAGAGAUCCGGAAGAACACCGGUGGCGAAGGCGGCCUGCUGGGCAGUUGCUGACACUGAGGCGCGACAGCGUGGGGAGCAAACAGG
rnacentral:rRNA from 1 species